UACGUAGGGGGCAAGCGUUGUCCGGAUUUAUUGGGCGUAAAGAGCGUGUAGGCGGCCAGGUAGGUCCGUUGUGAAAACUCGAGGCUCAACCUCGAGACGCCGAUGGAAACCAUCUGGCUAGAGUCCGGAAGAGGAGAGUGGAAUUCCCGGUGUAGCGGUGAAAUGCGCAGAUAUCGGGAAGAACACUCGUGGCUAAGGCGGCUCUCUAGUACGGUACUGACGCUGAGACGCGAAAGCGUGGGGAGCGAACAGG
rnacentral:rRNA from 1 species